rnacentral:rRNA from 1 species
AUGUCCUCCAUGGUUGGUCGUGCUCUCUGUUCUUGGUUUCCGCUUGUGAACCACAGCACAGAUCUUGUUUUUCUGUGUUUUCGUUUGGUUUUCUUUGAUCUGUGUUUUGUGUUUUGGAUUCGGUUUAGAGGUGGAGCUCCUAUCAUUCCAAUGAAGGGUCUACCGGAAGGGUUUGUGCAGCUGCUCGUUCAUGGUUGUGCUUUGUACUUUGCACGCACCUUUAUUCCCUUGCUUUUGAGCCGUGGUGUCACUGUUGCUUCGUCUUCAUCCCUUACCUCCCUGUCGGCUGUUCUACAGGACUGGUGCCCAUUUGUGGCAGGCCCCUUAGAUCUCACCAUGGAUGCAUUUAUCCCCUCGUCCUACUCUUGGCCAUAUGAUUUUUCUUGGUUGUACAGGAGGACGGUGAUGCUUGUGAAAGCUUUGAGACCUGGAUGGAACACGCCCCAUGAAAUCAAUGAAAUAGGGGCUAGAGCACCCAAGGCUGUUCGUUCUAAUCUCGGUUUUCUUGAGAAAAGUGCGGUGAAGGAUGAUUCUUCAAGUCAUGAAUUGACAAAGUUUGGAUUUUCCAAGCACAUACCCACUAAUUUGCUGAGUUCUUUUGAUGAUGCAUCAAUUCAAAGAGGUGAUAAACAUGAGGAUGGUCGAUCAGGAGAGACUUCGAGCAAUGCAACUUUGCAAUUUGGAAGUUUGGAAAUUCUGCUUUCCUCGGAAAACCAUAUGCCUGAAAUUGCCCCCCCUUCCGCAAACGCCAUUGGCCUGACGAUUCCGCUCCAAACCCCUCACCAGUUCCCUAUUCUGCCACCCCAGUCGACCAACGAGCAGAGAGCCACCCCACUCUGCACACCUCCCGCAUCAACAGCGUCGACCAACAUUGUCAAGACCUCCACCACCAUGGCCAACUUCCCCGUCAGACCGUUCCAGUUUGUUUCGAAGCAGCUAGUCCUGAAUGAAGUAGUCUGCAUCAUGACAGAAGAUUUCCAUCUAGAAGUGCCAGAUGCAUUUGUUUAUCCUAUUGGGUUAGAUCCUUUGGAUGAUGAGAUGACCUUUUCCUUCAUGUCACAUGAUGAGGGGGAAAACAUGCGUCAGUGCCUGUUUCAGUAUGUAGCUUGGGUUCUAUUUCUAGCUUUCCCGAUGGAGUAUCAGAACGACCACUAUAUCAACAAAGCAGCCUCAUGCUUUGGAAAGCUGGAUCUUUGGCACAGGCCAGGGCAGAACAAGGAACAUGUGUUGGUGCGGGUGAUUAUCAGCAACAUCGUGCAAGUGCCCCAUAGUCUUGUGGUCAAGCGAAUUGGCGCCCUGCCAGGCAUGGGCAGAUCUUGGUCAGUCCCUGUUUAUGUGCUCAAUGGCAGAGACACCAUUCCUGGUCUCGUUAGCAAUGAGGAUGAAGCUCCUCCAAUGAACGCAUCUCCUCACCCAUUUGAACUGCCGUACCUAUUGGCCGCCCAACAGUGGGCCCUUGAUCAUCAACAGAUGCUGCAUCAACAGAUUGAUGCUGCCUAG